rnacentral:lncRNA from 1 species
CAAAAGUUGCAGCACAGCGUGUCACCAGAGAGGAAAAGAAUAUCCUUGCUGUGCCAAGAAAGAAAAGACCAUGGAUCUACUAGUUGCAGAUUUCAGCAGUAAUGCCAAGGGGGCAAGAAGUGACCAGCAGAACAAUUAGGCCAUGGCAACAGAAGCCAACUACAACCCAUGUUCCAAUCUAUGACCUCCCUCUCCUGCUGGUACAAGGAUAUGUAUUCCUUAGAGCAAAGGAUGCAAUGUCAAGCAAGUUGUGAUACCUCAACUAUCUACAAUUUAACACCAAGGAAAGAACACUGUUUGGAGAAAUGAGAAAGAUUAUCAUCAGUGUCUUUCAGAAGUCAUCAAAAGAAGAAAAGGAGAAAAGAGAGGAGAAAGCAGAAAGAUCUGGAGUCUGGGAAGUUCAAGAGCAUGGCACCAACAUCUGGCAAGGGCUUUCAUUCUGCAUCAUCUCAUGGAGGAAAAUAAAAAGGAGGCUGGAUGCUCCUGUGAAGUACGUCUUUUAUCUACUUGCUAUCUUUGCAAUUCCUUCAUGCUACAAUGAGAGAUAGAGUUUAAACCUGAAAACAUUCUUGGAAAAGGAAUCUUCAUUAAUUCAAAUAUACCACAAGAUUCACCACCAUCACUACUCUAAGUAUUUUUCUUCUUGAGAAAGAGAAGGAGAGGGAAAGCAAGGAAGAGGAAGAGAAAGAGAAAUGGAUAAAAACAUGGUCAAGUAGAAGAGUCUGUGAUUUCAGUGUCUUCCAGAGUCCUCACGAGUAUCAGAGAAGGCAUAAUCUGUACACGUGGCUUCAUUUAAAAUGAAAAUAUCAAGCAGUGUCAUUUUCACAAGUAUCCCCACACUGUCUGAGGCUGAAAAGAAGAGUGUAGCUAUGCACACUGCAGUGAGAAGAAAAUUUCAGCUCAAUUGGAGGAUGUAAAGAUUGAAAUACCACUGCUCCUAGUUCUGAUGCAAAAUUGAAAAGAGUGCACUGGGUCUUCAAAUGGCAUAUUGACAAGGAGAAAGAGGAAAGGAUGCCCCAGGACAGCCUGGGGGUCAAGGCUGGGCUCAGGCAUGCCUGGACAAGCCAUGCAAGUUGUCUCCGGACUUGAACCACGUAUCAGAGGAGCUAUUUGAGGAGCCACAUCAGCAUACCUGCUUCUGUGGGCCCCCAGGCUGUGGUGCUCAGCCCUUGCACUAUGAAACAUUUUUUUUUUCCAGAAGCCAAAGCUUUGAGCAUCUCCUCCCAUGUAGAGAGUGUAUAUGUUUACGUCCAUGUCUUUCGCCAUGUGAACGCAUGCAACCACCACCUCAAAUAUCAUAAAUCCUCUCUCUCCCCCUUUCUGUCUGCCUGUUUAUCUACAAUCUGUCUAUUUAAAUUCUUUUUAAACAAGAAGGGAAUAUCUUUAUGCCUGUUUGUAGGGAUAUUCUACAUCCAUCUGUUAUUUACAUCAUUCGUUUUCCUGAGGUGUCUCCAACAAAUCCUGGCUGGAUGCACUGUAUGUGUUAUUAAUAAAACAGCUGUAAAAAUAUUAA